AGAAUUUAUAGAAGGCAAAAAGACACGCUUUCACAGUGAUAUUUUCUUCCCCACAGAGACCAUGCCGCUGAAUGUCAUACCUUUGCACCAAAUCUGAAAAUGCUUGUCCUUAUUAAAGCAGUUGAAAGAAUCUAUUUAAAACCAGCAGCCUGAGUCAGUUUUAACUGAUUUUGUUCUUGGACAUGGCUAGGAGGUUUUGACUGAAGUGUUCCUAAACAAUUCAUCCUGAUUCUGAUGCUCAAAAUGGAGACUUCUGGCCCAGAAAGGAACAGCUUGGCAAUAGUCUGAGUGGCAGAAUGUUAUUUCCUACAAUGGAAAAUGAAUGGUAGCCUGAACUACAGAUACAUACUGUGAUGUCUCAUCUGUGGGACUUCCAUGUACUCAAGCAAUGAACAGGAACCUCAAGAAGCAUAAGCCAAGAAGCAACAAUUUCAAAUUGCAGUCCUGAAGUAACAAUCUUUUCUAUAUUAUAUGGAGAACAUACAUUGGUCUUCAUUGUUAUGCAAAGUCCCUAUCAACCAGAAUCUGGGGAAGAUGAAUAAUCAGAGGUGCCCCUGCUCCACACCUGCAUGAUUCCAGCCUGCUGAAGGAGGCAGUAGUGAAAGUGUGGAAGGUCUGCUCAGA
rnacentral:lncRNA from 1 species